rnacentral:rRNA from 1 species
UUGUUGGUGAGGUAAAAGCUCACCAAGGCGACGAUCCUUAGCUGGUCUGAGAGGAUGAUCAGCCACACUGGGACUGAGACACGGCCCAGACUCCUGCGGGAGGCAGCAGUGGGGAAUAUUGGACAAUGGGCGAAAGCCUGAUCCAGCAAUGCCGCGUGAGUGAUGAAGGCCUUAGGGUUGUAAAGCUCUUUUGCCCGGGAUGAUAAUGACAGUACCGGGAGAAUAAGCUCCGGCUAACUCCGUGCCAGCAGCCGCGGUAAUACGGAGGGAGCUAGCGUUGUUCGGAAUUACUGGGCGUAAAGCGCGCGUAGGCGGCUUUGUAAGUUAGGGGUGAAAGCCCGGGGCUCAACCCCGGAACUGCCUUUAAGACUGCAUCGCUUGAAUCCAGGAGAGGUGAGUGGAAUUCCGAGUGUAGAGGUGAAAUUCGUAGAUAUUCGGAAGAACACCAGUGGCGAAGGCGGCUCACUGGACUGGUAUUGACGCUGAGGUGCGAAAGCGUGGGGAGCAGACAGGAUUAGAUACCCUGGUAGUCCACGCCGUAAACGAUGAUAACUAGCUGUCGGGGGUCAUGGACUUUCGGUGGCGCAGCUAACGCAUUAAGUUAUCCGCCUGGGGAGUACGGCCGCAAGGUUAAAACUCAAAGAAAUUGACGGGGGCCUGCACAAGCGGUGGAGCAUGUGGUUUAAUUCGAGCAACGCGCAGAACCUUACCAGCGUUUGACAUCCUCAUCGCGGUUACCAGAGAUGGUUUCCUUCAGUUCGGCUGGAUGAGUGACAGGUGCUGCAUGGCUGUCGUCAGCUCGUGUCGUGAGAUGUUGGGUUAAGUCCCGCAACGAGCGCAACCCUCGUCUUUAGUUGCCAUCAUUUAGUUGGGCACUCUAAAGAAACCGCCGGUGAUAAGCCGGAGGAAGGUGGGGAUGACGUCAAGUCCUCAUGGCCCUUACGCGCUGGGCUACACACGUGCUACAAUGGCGGUGACAACGGGUUGCUACCUCGCGAGGGGAAGCUAAUCCCAAAAAGCCGUCUCAGUUCGGAUUGUUCUCUGCAACUCGAGAGCAUGAAGGCGGAAUCGCUAGUAAUCGCGGAUCAGCAUGCCGCGGUGAAUACGUUCCCAGGCCUUGUACACACCGCCCGUCACACCAUGGGAGUUGGAUUCACCCGAAGGCGUUGCGCUAACCCGUAAGGGAGGCAGGCGACCACGGUGGGUUUAGCGACUGGGGUGAAGUCGUAACAAGGUAGCCGUAGGGGAACCUGCGGCUGG